CCCAUCUAUUUAUAUACUUACUUUUUAAAAUUAAUACUAACUCAUAUAUCCAUUUGUUCAUUCACUCACAUUAUCUGUCAAGGUUCUUUGCUUAUAAGCAACCCGCUUCUGAAUAUUUUCAAGAAAACAAAGGAGAGGGUAUUGGAAUGAUGCCACAACAACUCAGUUUGUAAGAGCUAGAAAGAAUGUUAUGAGUUGAAUCAUAUCCCCUCAAAAUUCUUAACCUGUGGGACCUCAGAACAUGAUCUUAUUCGGAAACAGGACCUUUGAAGCUGCUGUUAGUUAAGCGAAGAUGAGGUCAAUACUGGAGUCCAGCAGUUCCCUGUUCUGAUACGACUGAUGUCCUUAUCAAAAGGAGGCAUUUGGACAGACAGACACACACGGAAAUAAUACAACAUGAAAAGACACACAGAAUCUACAAGCCGACAAGAGAGGCCUGGAACAAAUCCUCCCUUAAGCGACCUCAGAAGGAACCAGCUAUUGACACCUCGAUCUUGGACUCUGUGCCUCUUAAACCACGAGACGGUGCCUCUGUUGGUGAAGCCACUCAAGUUUGUGGUGUUUGUUCUGGCAGCCCCGGCAAUCCAAUACAAUGAUCGGUAUAAGAACCAGCAAAAACCAACCCCCCAGAAAAAAGAAAACCCUGAAAGGAAGUAGGGGCGCUCCAAAGACCUGAGCAGCUCGAUGUCUGUGGUUUUCCUUGGGUCCUGCCAUGAGAAGACCCAGCUCCAACUGUCUUCCAGCACUCUCUUCAUCCUGUGCCCGCAGCAGGAGUCUAACUGGCCCACCUUUACCAGGGGUCUCUGCCUUUGUAUCAGUUGGCCCUGGUCAACAGAGAAUGGAGUGGCGCACACACAGCCGGGGGAGAAGCUCAGAGAAUUUGACAAAAAAACGCUCUACUGCGUUUACAUUGAGGACGCCCCUGGUCCCUGUCUUGGGCUAAGUUCUGUCUAA
rnacentral:lncRNA from 1 species